rnacentral:rRNA from 1 species
UUGAACGCUGGCGGCAUGCCUAACACAUGCAAGUCGCGCGGGCGGUAGCAAUACCGUUAGCGGCGGACGGGUGAGGAACACAUAGGAAUUUGCCUUUAGGUGGGGGAUAGCCCAGGGAAACUUGGAGUAAUACCGCAUGAUGUCGCAAGACCAAAGCAGGGGAUCGCAAGACCUUGCGCCUUUAGAGGAGCCUAUGUCUGAUUAGCUAGUUGGUAGGGUAAUGGCCUACCAAGGCGACGAUCAGUAACUGGUCUGAGAGGACGAUCAGUCACACUGGAACUGAGACACGGUCCAGACUCCUACGGGAGGCAGCAGUGGGGAAUAUUGGACAAUGGGCGCAAGCCUGAUCCAGCAAUGCCGCGUGUGUGAAGAAGGCCUUCGGGUUGUAAAGCACUUUAGGCCGGGAAGAAAAAAUCAGGGCUAAUAUCCUUGAUCUUGACGGUACCGGAAGAAUAAGCACCGGCUAACUCUGUGCCAGCAGCCGCGGUAAUACAGAGGGUGCGAGCGUUAAUCGGAUUUACUGGGCGUAAAGCGUGUGUAGGUGGUUGUUCAAGUCGGUUGUGAAAUCCCUGGGCUUAACCUGGGAACUGCUUCCGAGACUGAGCGACUAGAGUACGGUAGAGGGCGGUGGAAUUUCCGGUGUAGCGGUGAAAUGCGUAGAUAUCGGAAGGAACACCAAUGGCGAAGGCAGCCGCCUGGGCCUGUACUGACACUGAGAC